AUUGAACGCUGGCGGCAUGCUUUACACAUGCAAGUCGGACGGCAGCACAGAGACGCUUGCUUCUUGGGUGGCGAGUGGCGAACGGGUGAGUAACAUAUCGGAACGUACCGAGCAGUGGGGGAUAACUAAUCGAAAGAUUAGCUAAUACCGCAUAUCUUCUGAGGAAGAAAGCAGGGGACCAUUUGGCCUUGCGCUGUUUGAGCGGCCGAUAUCUGAUUAGCUAGUUGGUGGGGUAAAGGCCUACCAAGGCGACGAUCAGUAGCGGGUCUGAGAGGAUGAUCCGCCACACUGGGACUGAGACACGGCCCAGACUCCUACGGGAGGCAGCAGUGGGGAAUUUUGGACAAUGGGCGCAAGCCUGAUCCAGCCAUGCCGCGUGUCUGAAGAAGGCCUUCGGGUUGUAAAGGACUUUUGUCAGGGAAGAAAAGGGCGGGGUUAAUACCCCUGUCUGAUGACGGUACCUGAAGAAUAAGCACCGGCUAACUACGUG
rnacentral:rRNA from 1 species